UGAAGACCCCAAACUCAUGAGCUUUUUGGAACAUCAGUGUUUCCAGUUCGGUGCAUGCAACCAUCAUCAUAGGAGGCUACCUCUGUAGAAAAAGUCUUUCAACUGUUCCUGCAGUGUGACAGUUAGAGAUUUUGAAGAUUCAGUCCAUGAAGGUGUUGCUAAAGAGCUGGAAGUAAGUGGAUUAAGUCAGUUGACAACAACCAAAUACUGAAGGAUUUCUCAAAUUCUGGAUCAAUAAAAACAGAAUUUAAUUCAUACUACAAACCUAAGUUCACCUCCAAUUUGUAUUAUUGCUGCAUGGAAAUAGGUAUUGCAGAAAGUAUAUCUCCCCUCUUCUGAUCGUAGAAU
rnacentral:lncRNA from 1 species